UCCGGUGCUUAUAGCGGAGUUGCAACACACGUUCCCAUCCCGAACACGCAUGUUAAGGACUCCAGCGGCGAUGGUACUGCAUAUUUGACUGUGGGAGAGUAGCUCAGUGCCGGAA
rnacentral:rRNA from 1 species